rnacentral:rRNA from 1 species
AAAGAGGGAUAGGAGAAUUGGAGGGCAAGUUUGGUGCCAGCAGCCGCGGUAAUACCGACUCCAAGAGUGUGUAUGAGAGAUGCUGCAGUUAAAAAGUCCGUAGUCAUAGAAGGGCAAAGAGAGAUGCGAGGUCUCACAGUGCGAUGAUGGAGGAGCCGAUGGGGAACAUAGUAUACCAGGGCGAGAGAUGAAAUGCCAAGACCCCUGGUGGACUGAGCGAGGCGAAGGCGAUGUUCUUGUAGGCAUUCGGUGAUCAAGGACGAAGGCUGGAGUAUCGAAAGUGAUUAGAUACCGCAGUAGUUCCAGCAGUAAAAGAUGCCGACAUGCUCAUUGGACACAGUGGGCAGGGAGAAAUCUUAGAGUUCGGGCUCUGGGGAUAGUAUGCUCGCAAGGGUGAAAAUUAAAGAAAUUGACGGAGCUACACCACAAGGAGUGGAUUGUGCGGCUUAAUUUGACUCAACGCGAGGAAACUUACCAGGGCCAAGUAUUGUGUAGAAACGAGCAAUACAGGAGUGGUGCAUGGUCGUUGGAAAUUGAUGGGAUGACUUUGACCUUAAAUGGUUGAAUGAGUGAGAUCUUUUGGACAUGUUCCGCACGGAACAGGAAGGAAAAGGCUAUAACAGAUCCGAGAUGCCCUCAGAUGCCCUGGGCUGCACGCGCAAUACAAUAGCAGGUAGAGAGAGAGACAGGAAGGUGCUCAGAUGGACUAUGUGCUGUAAGGCACAUACGAAAGAGGAAUUCCUAGUAAGUGUGU